rnacentral:rRNA from 1 species
GAUGAACGCUAGCUACAGGCUUAACACAUGCAAGUCGAGGGGAAACGAUAGAGAAAGCUUGCUUUUUCUAGGCGUCGACCGGCGCACGGGUGAGUAACGCGUAUCCAACCUGCCCAUCACUUGGGGAUAACCUUGCGAAAGUAAGACUAAUACCCAAUGACGUCUCUAGAAGACAUCUGAAGGAGAUUAAAGAUUUAUCGGUGAUGGAUGGGGAUGCGUCUGAUUAGCUUGUUGGCGGGGUAACGGCCCACCAAGGCGACGAUCAGUAGGGGUUCUGAGAGGAAGGCCCCCCCACAUUGGAACUGAGACACGGUCCAAACUCCUACGGGAGGCAGCAGUGAGGAAUAUUGGUCAAUGGGACAGGAGUCUGAACCAGCCAGGUAGCGUGCAGGAUGACGGCCCUAUGGGUUGUAAACUGCUUUUAUAAGGGAAUAAAGUGAGUCUCGUGAGACUUUUUGCAUGUACCUUAUGAAUAAGGACCGGCUAAUUCCGUGCCAGCAGCCG